GUCAAUCAUUACCAGUCGGCCAGAUGUAGAUUUGAUCAGUGCUGACUAGCUCAACUCUCUGACUGAUUUGGAUUUCUGACUCUUCUUGAUUUCUGAAACUACAGCUUCAAGCCCCUGGUCUCCAUCUGCAAGCCCCUGGAAGCUCCACUUCACUGUCUGCAAUGCUAGUGAAGGUGCCAGCAGACAGAGAAAUUGAGAGGACAGGAGACAGAGAUUGAGAACAAGGAACAUCUAUAGCAAUGUUUCACAACUCGGGGAGCUUCCCCCUGCAGAUCCCUUCACCCACAGCACUCAAGAACCAAAAUGGUAACAUACUUGUCAACAACACCGCCAUCACUAGUGAAGAAGACCAGGGAGGGAGGUGGAGCAGAUCCCAAGGAAAGAACAGAGCACAUCAGGACUCACGUUGCCAUUUCUGUUGUGUCUGCAACUUACAGUCUCAUAGAUUUCAAAAUGUGUUCUUUCCUUUUCCAAAUAUGCUUCACCUGGUGCCUUCUAUGUGACACCAAAGACUGGCUGGAGGAAGACGUUGGCUACAAUUCUUUACUCCUGCCCAUGUGCUAAUAAUAUCGACAUCAGCUGGAGGAAAAUAAAUCAGUGUUCGGUUUGCUCUGAAAAUCCACAAA